rnacentral:rRNA from 1 species
GCAGGCCUAACACAUGCAAGUCGAACGGUAACAUGGAAAAGCUYGCUUKUCCGCUGACGAGUGGCGCACGSGUGCGUAACGCGUAUACAAUCUACCUUCAAGCGGGGGAUAGCCCAUGGAMACGUGGAUUAAUACCCCAUGGUAUKAUAGAUUCACCWGGAUUUAUAAUUAMACAUUUAUGGUUUGAAGAUGAGUMUGCGUCCUAUKAGCUAGAUGGAGUGGUAACGGCACCCCAUGGCAACGAUAGGUAGGGGUCCUGAGAGGGAGAUCCCCCACACUGGUACUGAGACACGGACCAGACUCCUACGGGAGGCAGCAGUGAGGAAUAUUGGACAAUGGAGGCAACUCUGAUCCAGCCAUGCCGCGUGCAGGAAGACUGCCCUAUGGGUUGUAAACUGCUUUUAUACGGGAAGAACCACACCUACGUGUAGGUGCUUGACGGUACCGUAUGAAUAAGGAUCGGCUAACUCCGUGCCAGCAGCCGCGGUAAUACGGAGGAUCCAAGCGUUAUCCGGAAUCAUUGGGUUUAAAGGGUCCGUAGGCGGGACAAAUAAGUCAGUGGUGAAAGUCUGCCGCUUAACGGUAGAAUUGCCAUUGAUACUGUUGUUCUUGAAUUAGUAUGAAGUGGUUGGAAUGAGUAGUGUAGCGGUGAAAUGCAUAGAUAUUACUCAGAACACCUAUUGCGAAGGCAGAUCACUAAUACUAUAUUGACGMUSAUGGACGAWAGCGUAGGUMGCGAACAGGAUUAGAUACCYKGGUAGUCUACGCCGUAAACRAUGGUCACUAGCUGUCCGGCCUAAUUGAGGGCUGGGUGGUUAAGCGAAAGUGAUAAGUGACCCACCUGGGGAGUACGUUCGCAAGAAUGAAACUCAAAGGAAUUGACGGGGGCCCGCACMAGCGGUGGAGCAUGUGGUUUAAUUCGMUGAUACGCGAGGAACCUUACCAGGGCUUAAAUGCAGUGGGACAGGUCUGGAAACAGACCCUUCUUCGGACUCAUUGCAAGGUGCUGCAUGGUUGUCGUCAGCUCGUGCCGUGAGGUGUCAGGUUAAGUCCUAUAACGAGCGCAACCCCUGUGGUUAGUUGCCAGCACGUAAAGGUGGGAACUCUAGCCAGACUGCCGGUGCAAACCGCGAGGAAGGUGGGGAUGACGUCAAAUCAUCACGGCCCUUACGUCCUGGGCCACACACGUGCUACAAUGGUAGGGACAGAGGGCAGCUACCCCGCGAGGGGAUGCGAAUCUUCAAACCCUAUCACAGUUCGGAUCGCAGUCUGCAACUCGACUGCGUGAAGCUGGAAUCGCUAGUAAUCGCACAUCAGCCAUGGUGCGGUGAAUACGUUCCCGGGCCUUGUACACACCGCCCGUCAAGCCAUGGAAGCCGGGGGUACCUGAAGUCGGUCACCGCAUGGAG